rnacentral:piRNA from 1 species
UGUUUACACUGGCUGGUAAAUGAAAAA